UACGGGGGGGCAAGCGUUGUUCGGAAUUACUGGGCGUAAAGGCUCGUAGGUGGCCAACUAAGUCGGACGUGAAAUCCCUCAGCUUAACUGGGGAACUGCGUCCGAUACUGGAUGGCUUGAGUUUGGGAGAGGGAUGCGGAAUUCCAGGUGUAGCGGUGAAAUGCGUAGAUAUCUGGAGGAACACCGGUGGCGAAGGCGGCAUCCUGGACCAACACUGACACUGAGGAGCGAAAGCCAGGGAGCAAACGGG
rnacentral:rRNA from 1 species